rnacentral:rRNA from 1 species
UACGUAGGGGGCAAGCGUUAUCCGGAUUUACUGGGUGUAAAGGGAGCGUAGACGGCAGCGCAAGUCUGGAGUGAAAUGCCGGGGCUCAACCCCGGAACUGCUUUGGAAACUGUGCAGCUAGAGUGCGGGAGAGGUAAGCGGAAUUCCUAGUGUAGCGGUGAAAUGCGUAGAUAUUAGGAGGAACACCAGUGGCGAAGGCGGUCUGCUGGACAGCAACUGACGCUGAGGCGCGAAAGCGUGGGGAGCAAACAGG